UAAUAGCCCUGAUGGAAGUGAGCACGGAGCCAAUUCUUCAUUGGCGGAGUAAAACGUACAGCAGGACGGAAC
rnacentral:misc_RNA from 1 species